GGAGAGGUGCCAGAGUGGCCGAAUGGGCUUGACUCGAAAUCAAGUGAAGGCGCGAGCCUUCCGAGGGUUCGAAUCCCUCCCUCUCCGCCA
rnacentral:tRNA from 2 species